UACAGAGGUCUCAAGCGUUGUUCGGAUUCAUUGGGCGUAAAGGGUGCGUAGGCGGCGGAGCAAGUCAGGUGUGAAAUCCCGGGGCUCAACCCUGGAACUGCACUUGAUACUGCUUUGCUAGAGUACUGGAGAGGAGAUUGGAAUUUACGGUGUAGCAGUGAAAUGCGUAGAUAUCAUGAGGAAGACCAGUGGCGAAGGCGGGUCUCUGGACAGUUCCUGACACUGAGACACGAAGGCCAGGGGAGCAAACGGG
rnacentral:rRNA from 1 species